CUGAGGCGGCAGCGAUUGUAUCAGGGUGGCCGUGCCCGCCGUUGCCCAUAAUACAUGAACACACGUGAUCUCCAGAAAGUAGUAUUUGGAGAUUGGUGAAUGUCAUUAUCAUACUGUUUAGUGUGGCAGUAUGUGGUUUUUUACACGGCCUACAUAUGUGUAGCCUGUGUGACACUAGGUACCAGCUGUUAUGGAAACAGAAGGACCCAGCAGGAAGGCAAGUUUUCAGUGUCGAGAGCAAACGCGAAUAUCUUGAGCUCUCACGAGAUCCCUAGUAUGCCGGCAUUGUUCAAACAACGUGCUUAGAACGCCACUGUAGUCUGGAGGUUCCGACUUUUAUUCGUGUGUACGCACUGGAAACGCUGAAAGAAGUCUUGGUGGUUUGCCCUGCUUAAACAGUCAGAAAGAUGAGAUACAGUUAAUUGUGGAGGCUGGUGACUGAAGGAGAGCUUCCAGAGGGUGUCAGCAGUCACAGUUACUGAUGUAAAUGUAACCUACAAAGAGAGUGGCUGAAGACGAGGGUGCAGAUAUUGGUGUAGCCACUGUUUUUCCCACCCUUUUAUUUGUUUCUUUUCUAUGGCUUCUUUUUUUGGUGUUUUUCUUAAUACCAUAAUGACAUAAGGUUCUAUUUACUUAAUUUGGUACCAGUUUGGAGACUUUUGUGGGUUUUGUUUUCCUUUCUGGAUUUUGUUUUAUGUCGAGUGAAGGGUUGGUUUCCAAUAUUUCUUAUUGUUAUUAGUUAUUUGUAUUGUUAAUGGAGGAAUGUGCAAUAUCCUGGGGUCGUUAGAGUUUACAUUUUAGCCAAGUGGGCACAGUGCAGUACCUUCUUUAAAUGUCAAGUUCUGAUUGACAGUGGGAAUCUUUUUUUCCGUAGGACACCACCGGUAUUUUUUAGCUCUUGACAUACUUUAUUAGCAUAAUAGGAGGCAGAAAUCUUUGUGUGUGUG